rnacentral:rRNA from 1 species
ACGGAAGGCAGCAGUGGGGGAUACUGGACAAUGGAGGAAACUCUGAUCCAGCGACGCCGCGUGAGUGAAGAAGUAUUUCGGUAUGUAAAGCUCUAUCAGCAGGGAAGAAAAAGCGCAAGCAUUGACUGUACCUGACUAAGAAGCCACGGCUAACUACGUGCCAGCAGCCGCGGUAAUACGUAGGUGGCAAGCGUUGUCCGGAUCUACUGGGUGUAAAGGGCGUGUAGCCGGGUCGGUAAGUCAGAUGUGAAAUCCACGGGCUUAACUCGUGAACUGCAUUUGAAACUGCUGAUCUUGAGUAUCGGAGAGGCAAUCGGAAUUCCUAGUGUAGCGGUGAAAUGCGUAGAUAUUAGGAGGAACACCAGUGGCGAAGGCGGAUUGCUGGACGACAACUGACGGUGAGGCGCGAAAGCGUGGGGAGCAAACAGGAUUAGAUACCCUGGUA